rnacentral:rRNA from 1 species
GACGAACGCUGGCGGCGUGCCUAAUACAUGCAAGUAGAACGCUGAAGGAGGAGCUUGCUUCUCUGGAUGAGUUGCGGACGGGUGAGUAACGCGUAGGUAACCUGCCUGGUAGCGGGGGAUAACUAUUGGAAACGAUAGCUAAUACCGCAUAAUAGUAGAUGUUGCAUGACAUUUGCUUAAAAGGUGCAAUUGCAUCACUACCAGAUGGACCUGCGUUGUAUUAGCUAGUUGGUGAGGUAACGGCUCACCAAGGCGACGAUACAUAGCCGACCUGAGAGGGUGAUCGGCCACACUGGGACUGAGACACGGCCCAGACUCCUACGGGAGGCAGCAGUAGGGAAUCUUCGGCAAUGGACGGAAGUCUGACCGAGCAACGCCGCGUGAGUGAAGAAGGUUUUCGGAUCGUAAAGCUCUGUUGUAAGAGAAGAACGAGUGUGAGAGUGGAAAGUUCACACUGUGACGGUAUCUUACCAGAAAGGGACGGCUAACUACGUG